AUUGAACGCUGGCGGCAUGCCUUACACAUGCAAGUCGAACGGCAGCAUGAUCUAGCUUGCUAGGUUGAUGGCGAGUGGCGAACGGGUGAGUAAUACAUCGGAACGUGCCCUGUAGUGGGGGAUAACUAGUCGAAAGAUUAGCUAAUACCGCAUACGACCUGAGGGUGAAAGUGGGGGACCGCAAGGCCUCAUGCUAUAGGAGCGGCCGAUGUCUGAUUGGCUAGUUGGUGAGGUAAAGGCUCACCAAGGCGACGAUCAGUAGCUGGUCUGAGAGGACGAUCAGCCACACUGGGACUGAGACACGGCCCAGACUCCUACGGGAGGCAGCAGUGGGGAAUUUUGGACAAUGGGGGCAACCCUGAUCCAGCAAUGCCGCGUGUGUGAAGAAGGCCUUCGGGUUGUAAAGCACUUUUGUCCGGAAAGAAAUCGCACUUACUAAUAUUAGGUGUGGAUGACGGUACCGGAAGAAUAAGGACCGGCUAACUACGUGCCAGCCGCCGCGGUAAAAC
rnacentral:rRNA from 1 species